UGAUACCAGGGUCAAAAGCUCCAAAAGCCGUUCGUGCUUGCACGAUUAGGUUUUUGAGCUUGGGACCCGCAAAAACAUGAGGAUGCAGCGAUUAAGCCCGAUAGGGCGGUUUUGCGCAUGAUAGGCGCGGGUGAGCUGUUUCUUAUUAAAAUCAGCGAAUCCGAAUGUUUUUAGAAUUGCGAAAGUUGCAGGGGGCGGAGCAAUUCGUGGAUAUCA
rnacentral:sRNA from 1 species